UUAGGGGAGCAUUAGCCAAUAAAGAGAAUAUGUCAGAGGCUCCCUUAACAAUAAAAAAGCAAAGUAAAUACUUAGAGUUUUCUACCCAUCAGUCGCCGCUCAAAAGAACGAAAAAAAACUCUCCAGCAUUACUCUCUAAACCGCCGAAGCUGCUGACCACCACACACCGACAACCUUUUUUCCCUCACUCAACAACCAGCCUCAACCACUGUGAGCAACUUCCUUUCCCAAACCCUCAACACCAGCAACAGUAACGAGUUCUUCCUCACGACAACGACUCUCUCUUCCUCUCGGCCAAAACAAUCUCUACAGCAGCCCGACCAUGCUCCAUCAAAACACUCCAGCUUGUGACCAGUGAUCUCCCUCUCAAUAGAACAACCCAGUAACUAGACUCACCGCAUCUUCGUCCACCAGUGACGACAACAACUGCCAAUAAAGGAGAAACAAAACAGAGAGAGAGGAGUAAGAGCUGAAAUUUGAAGUGUGGGUCUCAGUCCGUUAAGAUCACCAGAGGGUGACUGCAAGCAUCGCCAGCCAUGGACACGCGUGAGCUGCACAAACUGAAGCAACUUGGUUUCAAACACCUCUGAAGGUAAAUUUGUAACCUCAAAUUAUUUUUUGAAGAAAUGGCUAUAAUAUUGUGAAAAUUAAAACAAUGUUUAUCUUUAUGUCUAAAUUUUGGACUGUUUAAAUAUUAUUUGAUUUGAAUUCAUAUAUAUUUUUUGUUUGAUAAUUUAUGUUAAACUAAGAAUUUAUAUUUUGAGUUA